AUAAGUUUAUAUGUAUAUACUGGAACAUCUUGAUUUACAACUUAAAAGUUAAAUACCGGCAGAUGUCCGUUAUUAUGUUGUCAAUGCUCCUUUACAAUGGCAAGGUACGAAGGUGGUGAUGAGAUGUUAUCAUUAGUUAAUGGUUUCACAGAAUUAUCAGAAGAAGAAAUAGAACAUUUGCUAUCAGUAAUGAUUAAGGCAAAGGAAUUUGAAAGCCAAGAGGAAAAGAAAAGAAUAUACUCGUCUCUGAAAACAUCUUACCACCUAUUCUUUUCACUUCUGGUGCGCUUUUAUAUUUCUUGCCUUAUCAAAGAAUGAAGAUUCACAAGUGCAAAUGCAUAGAGGGAGAUAGUGUACAUGAAGGUGUGUUGCCCUCCUAUUAAUGGAAGGCAUUAUCAUCAUGCAGUAGUGCAAUUCAUAUGAGAUUAGGUGGGAGUUGCCUCAAGACUAGUGGCAUGCCAAUCUUCAAGGCAGUCAUGCAGGGAAGAUAGCUUAACUGUGUGUAAAGAGAAG